CUUGGGGGAUGAAUAGCGUGAUAUUAGGGGAUCAGAAUGGUACCAAAGUUGCCAUGACUACCUUUAUUGUUUUGCCGCUUUCGUGCAUUCUUUGAGAGCAAUUUCGCAAACAAUGGCGCAUCGAAGCCAAAAUGUUAAAAUUGAUGAAUUUCGGCUUCGAAUAACUUUUGUUUUUAAGGCCAUCCUUUUAUAAUAUUUGGUAGGACUAAAUUUAUAGCCUUUAUCUAAAUUCCUACCGAAGCACUUUACUCGAUUUCGUCUUUGAUCGCAGUAAAAAUGCAUUUGAAUAAGGCCACCAAAUACAGCGUUUCGAUGUCAACGCUAAUAAUAUAACGUUUAGCGUCUGAGGUUGCGGUCAAAAGAAAGAUGGAAUUAUCGACCAAGACACAGGAAUUGAGGAGAUUAGACGAAAAGGU